CAAUUUAGAUCUUGUAUAAGUUUCUUAUUUACAUUAAGAAGAAAAUUGUAAAAUCAUUUUAAAUUGA
rnacentral:tRNA from 1 species